rnacentral:rRNA from 1 species
GGAAUUUUCCGCAAUGGGCGAAAGCCUGACGGAGCAAUGCCGCGUGGGUGAUGAAGGUUUUCGGAUCGUAAAACUCUGUUGUGAGGGAAGAACAAGUACGAGAGGAAAUGCUCGUACCUUGACGGUACCUUGCGAGAAAGCCACGGCUAACUACGUGCCAGCAGCCGCGGUAAUACGUAGGUGGCAAGCGUUGUCCGGAAUUAUUGGGCGUAAAGCGCGCGCAGGCGGCCUUUUAAGUCUGAUGUGAAAGCCCCCGGCUCAACCGGGGAGGGUCAUUGGAAACUGGAAGGCUUGAGUACAGAAGAGAAGAGUGGAAUUCCAUGUGUAGCGGUGAAAUGCGUAGAGAUGUGGAGGAACACCAGUGGCGAAGGCGACUCUUUGGUCUGUAACUGACGCUGAGGCGCGAAAGCGUGGGGAGCAAACAGGAUUAGAUACCCGGG